AUGCAAAUUAUGUUUAAGGUGCAGGAAGCGGAAGCUCAGAGAAUGCACCUCCCAGGGUCCCACAGCCAGCCGGAGAUGGUGCUUGCGGGGGCUCCUGGGUCAGGCUGCACAGCCCGGAGUCUGGCGGCACCUCCGACUUCCCUGCGAUGUUGGACGGUUCGUCCCCGUCUCUCAGCCUGGCUUCACUCACCAAAACCUGCACCGAGGACAGCAGACCGUGCUGUGGGCUCAGUACUUGCUAGUGACUCUCGCUGCGGUGCUCAUGGUGGCUGUGCAGGUACCGUGAGCUGUCGCCUUUCAAGCCCACGUCCCAAGGAACAGGAGGGAACACAAGACUUCUCCAGCUCCCAGUCACACAAGAGAAAGCGCUCACUGGCCCCUCCUUGCCCACGCCUGUCAUGUCCGGACAACCAGACAGACGCCCGGGCCCGAAGGGUGACAAAUCCACUUGCAAGCUGCAGCUCGCUAAGUGGCAGUGGCCUUUUAUUCCCUGACAUCUUUCCAGACCCUUGAAGGGAUUAGAACUGGAUUAGUUUGAGAUGAGCCUGGCUCUGCGUUAUCACCUGUUUAUAAGAUAAUGACAUUAUCUGGGUUGGCCUAUAAGGGCCUCCUUACAUAGGAACUUUGUUCUCUUUGAUCUUGAGGGUUCCGGGCAACCUAUCUUUAAAUCUAAACAAACCCACUGCAGCCUCCAGAUAAGUGUUUAAAACAUCCAGUGGGAAGAGAGGAGAUCCUUUCCUCCCUUCUGCUCAAUGCCAACAGUAAUUUGAAAAUGUGGGCCCUUGACUUCGAACCUAAAACUCACCUUGCCAUUUUCAACGCCGGCCUCUCCGCUCUCCUUUCACACGGGUACAGCCCUUCAAAGUUCGCAGAGCUAUUUUUUUUUUUUUUUGGCCACUUGUGAACUCAGUUGAUUGGCACCCCUGGGAGUGGGGCAGGGUGGGCUCAGUGCCCGCGAGGCAGGCGAGGACCCGCAACAGGUUUGGGAGCGCCCACGUGCUUGCCAGCACUCUCCUCGUUUUUAAGACCAGAGCAGUCAUUUAAAUCCAGCUUAUCUGGAAAACUCCAGCGUUUAUCGCAUCACCUGAAGCCAUCGAAGACCUGCCCUCUCUGCCCAAACAGGGCUUUCCAGAAAGCCCAUCCUCCGUACCGGUCACAGCAAACAUCUGCUCCGUUAGGGGUUCCGGCAGGUGCUGGGCCCAAGCCACUUCCCAAAGCUCCCUACUGUCCCGUCGCGGACUUUUUUUUGAACUGUCUUCAUGGAGCUGCAAUUCACACGCGGCGUGCCAGCCGUCUGCUGGGGCUUGGAAAAUGCACACACUUGUGUAAACACCACCCCAACCAGGAUUUAGACCAUUCCUGUCAUUCCCCACAUGCCUUCAGGCCCCCUGCGUCCAGUCUCCGAACCCCCUCCCCAGCCCCUGACAACCUCUGAUCUUUCCAUCACCGUAGUUUUGCCUUUUCUGGAAUUUCGUCCGAAAGGAAGCACACCGUUCGUAUUCUUUUAUACCUGGCUUCUAUUACUACGCAAACCUCUUUGAGUUUGGGCCAUUUUGUUGUGUGUUUGAUUCGUUCGUUCCCUUUCAUGGCAGAGUGGCCUUCCGCGGUAUGGACGUAUCAGAUUUUCUGUACCCGUGAUGGACAUGUGAGGAGUUUCCAGUUCGAGGCCGUUAUGAAUAAAGCUGCUGUGUUAUCUUGUGUUUUUAUUUAU
ensembl:lncRNA